ACUCCUACGGGAGGCAGCAGGCGCGAAAACUUUACAAUGCCGGCAACGGCGAUAAGGGGACCUCGAGUGCCAGGUUGCAAAUCUGGCUGUCGUGAUGCCUAAAAAGCAUUGCAUAGCAAGGGCCGGGCAAGACCGGUGCCAGCCGCCGCGGUAACACCGGCGGCUCGAGUGGUAACCGUUAUUAUUGGGUCUAAAGGGUCUGUAGCCGGCCGGAUAAGUCUCUUGAGAAAUCCAGCAGCUCAACUGUUGGGCUUUCAGGAGAUACUGUUCGGCUCGAGGCCGGGAGAGGUGAGAGGUACUUCAGGGGUAGGGGUGAAAUCUUGUAAUCCUUGAAGGACCACCAGUGGCGAAGGCGUCUCACCAGAACGGACCUGACGGCAAGGGACGAAAGCUAGGGGCACGAACCGGAUUAAAUACCCGGGUAGUCCUAGCCGUAAACGAUACUCGCUAGGUGUCGGCCACGGUGCGACCGUUGUCGGUGCCGUAGGGAAGCCGUGAAGCGAGCCACCUGGGAAGUACGGCCGCAAGGCUGAAACUUAAAUGAAUUGACGG
rnacentral:rRNA from 1 species